rnacentral:rRNA from 1 species
UACGGGGGGGGCAAGCGUUGUUCGGAAUUACUGGGCGCAAAGGGCUCGUAGGCGGCCAACUAAGUCGGAUGUGAAAUCCCCAGGCUUAACCUGGGAACUGCAUCCGAUACUGGAUGGCUUGAAUCCGGGAGAGGGAUGCGGAAUUCCAGGUGUAGCGGUGAAAUGCGUAGAUAUCUGGAGGAACACCGGUGGCGAAGGCGGCAUCCUGGACCGGCAUUGACGCUGAGGAGCGAAAGCCAGGGGAGCAAACGGG